rnacentral:misc_RNA from 1 species
UCACAAGAUAUGUUAGGAGAAAACAUAAAAGAGCAACAAAAGCACUGAUCCAGUUCCAAUAUCAUAAUCACGACCAUCACAGUGGAUGGCAUGAUUGUUACACCCAAUAGCAGAGAGUGAUACUGCCAUACUGGUGAACCAAAAUAAUAAUAUAAUAUAAUGUAGAAUAAGUAAAUUCCCUAAACUAACCUUUAUGUUUUCUCCUAACAUAUCUUGUGA